AUAUAUAUUGACUUCAUUAUUCUAAAAACUUAUUUAAUGAGUAUAUAUAUUGACGUCUUCAACAAGAAGAAUACUUUGGAGCUCCCAAAUUCAUGAAGAUUGGAGACCUGAAAGGGCAUUUUGGAUUACUCGCGGUGAUCAUGCAAAUUCUGAGAGCAAAGCUCAAAGUAUUAGAUCUUUCGUAUGGAAAUGGAACAGGUAUAAUUAAGCACAACUCAACUACACAUCUGGUACUGAAAUAUCUGUCUUCAUGUGAAUGUAAUUUUAGAAAUUAACAAUUUUAUUGUUUUUAAGUGAGUUAUGUCGGAAAGGAUAGGAAUUUCCUAUGGAGGCUUUAUGAGUGAUCUUUUUCAUGCCAUAUUAGUAAUCUCUUUAAACUGUAUAUUAGUCAAAAUUUGAAACUUGUGUGCACAAAAUGUUAGUUGUUAUUCAUAUCUUGGCUUCCUUUGUAACUGUAUAACAUGAAUUUGUUGAGGAUUAUGUAAUUUUUCUUGAAAUGUACAACUAGUAGUAUUACUGUAAAACAA